GAUGAAGAACGUAGCGAAAUGCGAUAAGUAAUGUGAAUUGCAGAAUUCAGUGAAUCAUCGAAUCUUUGAACGCACAUUGCGCCCGCUGGUAUUCCGGCGGGCAUGCCUGUUCGAGCGUCAUUUCAACCCUCAAGCUCUCCGAAGUUUGGUGUUGGGGCGCCUGGGGCUUUUCGACCUCAGGGCCCUCAAGUCCAUCGGCGGGACCGCCAGGACACUGAGCGCAGUAGUAUUAUUUCGCUCGGUAGGAUCUUCCACGGCGGGUCGAUCUGGCCGCUAAACCCCCCAAUUCUCACCAAAGGUUGACCUCGGAUCAGGUAGGAAUACCCGCUGAACUUAAGCAUAUCAAUAAGCGGAGGA
rnacentral:misc_RNA from 1 species